rnacentral:rRNA from 1 species
AAUAAUACGGCCGAAAGGGGUACUAAUACCGGGAUAUUCUUGCUUUUCAUAAGUUAUGCAAGCAAAGGUGGCCUCUGGCAUAUGCUACUGCAUGAAGAGGGGUCUGCGUACCAUUAGCUAGUAGGUGGGGUAAUGGCCUACCUAGGCGACGAUGGUUAGCGGGUCUGAGAGGAUGAUCCGCCACACUGGCACUGGAACACGGGCCAGACUCCUACGGGAGGCAGCAGUGAGGAAUAUUGCGCAAUGGGGGAAACCCUGACGCAGCGACGCCGCGUGAGUGAAGGAAGGCCUUCGGGUCGUAAAGCUCUGUCAAGAGGAAAGAAGUGUACAAUGGCUAAUACCUGUUGUAUUUGACGGUACCUCUAAAGGAAGCACCGGCUAACUCCGUGCCAGCCGCAGC